CAGGAUGAACGCUAGCUACAGGCUUAACACAUGCAAGUCGAGGGGCAGCAUGGUCUUAGCUUGCUAAGAUGAUGGCGACCGGCGCACGGGUGAGUAACGCGUAUCCAACCUUCCCUAUAGUAGGGGAUAGCCCGUAGAAAUGCGGAUUAAUACCCUAUGUUGUAUUUAGACGACAUCUGACGAAUACCAAAGGUUCACCGCUAUAGGAUGGGGGAUGCGUCUGAUUAGGUAGUUGGUGAGGUAACGGCCCACCAAGCCGACGAUCAGUAGCCGACUUGAGAGAGUGAUCGGCCACAUUGGGACUGAGACACGGCCCAGACUCCUACGGGAGGCAGCAGUAGGGAAUAUUGCACAAUGGGGGAAACCCUGAUGCAAGCGACGCCGCGUGAGUGAUUGAAGUAUUUCGGUACGUAAAGCUCUAUCAGCAGGGAAGAUAAUGACGGUACCUGACUAAGAAGCCCCGGCUAACUACGUGCCAGCCGCGGC
rnacentral:rRNA from 1 species